AAUUGAAAAGGAUUUUCUUUCUUUUUUCUCUCUGGUGGCUUGAAAGUUCUUUGAAAUGAUUCAUUCUCUGUCCUCUUCAGACAGCAGCAAUCAGCCCAUGCUCAUGUGCAACCUCAAGGAAGCCUUCCUGGCUCAGGGGAGGAAUGUGCUCUUUGUCGCUCUCUGGCCAUUGGCUGGCCCCUGAGGGCUCCAGGGCGCCCCUGAUAACUACAUUUAGACAGGCAGUCACAAGCCUGGGGACUGCAGGCACAGUGAGGAAGGUAGGGAAGGGUCUCUCCAAGACAGGCCCACUAGGAGCCCCCACUGGGAGUAGUGCAGCCCCUGUCAGGGGAUGGAGUGUCUGGAAUUCCAUGGCUGAGGUGCAACAGGUGACUAAAGGUUUGAGGAGGCAACGCUCCCACUCACAGUCAGAAGCAGAGGGGAUGAGAUGGCCAGAUGUGAUUGGAAUCAGACACAGUGAGGUUUGAAUCCUCACUCUGUCCUUUUUGUUGUGUGGCCUGUGUGACAGGUCCCACAGCCUCUCCAGCCUCUGUGGGAAGAAGGAUCAUCUGAUGCCUACGUAAUAGAGUUGCUGAAGGAGUGGAAGCAGCUUUGACAUUAUCAGUGGAACCCACCAGUGCAGCAGUGCAGACUGCUUCAUCCAGGGGCACCUGAGGCAGCAGAUCUGAGGAUUAGGGACAUCGGGAGCUGAAGCCUGGCUGGAGAGGUGGUGCGCACGAGAACCCCCACGUUCCCCGACAGGAGCCUGAAAAAGUUUCUUUUGCAGAUACCCUGUGAUUGCCAGCAAGUAAACCAGAUGCAAUUGUGGUUUCCGUGAAGCACAGCUGGAAAACUGCUGCCCCCACGGAGGAAGAGGAAGAUGGGAAGAUGGUGGUUACUGCACACCAGGCACCAGCCUCGGGGCUAUGAGCUGUACAAACAUUACCCAUUUAAUCCUCGUGACCAUGUUCUGAGAAGGCUGUCAAUGAUCUCACUUUAUACAUGGGGAAAUUCAUGCAGACAGAGCUGACUAAAUUGCCAUGGUCACCCAGCUAGUAGGAACUGGAGCUGUAACUUGAACCAGGGUCUUUUGUUUCUGUGGCUCCUGGUAGCACAUGCCGGGCUUGAAGUGAGAUCCGGAGUAUGUUGGAAACAACGUGUUCCCCAUCGUGAAAGUCCUUAUGAUACCUUAUGAUGCAGAGUUGGCAGCCAGCAGCAGGGGCUUCCAGAAGCAUGGCUGACCCUUGUUGGGAUCUCGCUCCUGUGAGCCUUGGAAUGUCUAGGGAGAAAGAGCAGCCAAAUUUAGAGCUACAGGAGCUUUGAGAUGCAGCUCAGGCAUCAUCUCUGGGAAGUCUUUCCUGGAACCACAGCCUGGGCCCUGUACCUGAUUCCCAGCCCCUCUGGCUCUUUUUGCAUUUGCUGCCUCUUUUCACAAUUCUGUCUCCUUAUGUCUUCCACUCUACAUGCAAGCCCCUUGAGGGCAGGACCAUGACUCAGUCAUCCUGUACCCUAGCACCCACCCUGGGUCUGCAUCUGGAAGGAGCUCACUAAGUGAUUAUUGAGCCAAACUGAACUGUAGCAGGAGUGAGCAAAGCUAAUUCACGGGUGCAGCAUGGGAGCACAGAGCUGCCAGAAUCCAGAGACAACUGUAACUGUCCCAGCAUAGGGGGCUUCAGGCCGUGGUGAGAGCCACUGAAAGCAAGAGAGCCAGGUGGUGGCUCAGUUCACACUGAGUCCUGCUGAAGAAAUAGGCACAUCGUGUGUGUUAAAAUCAGCACCCCAUGCACCUGUAGGAAGAGACUGAGGCACCCUGGAGGCCCCUGCCAAUAAUUAAAAGGCCCUCUGGGGCCUGUGGGAGCCCUAGCUGAUGAAAUCACAAAGGCCUCAGCCUCUAAAGUGUUUCCAGUAAAAUGCUACCAGGAUUUUCCUCCCUUAAAUCUGGAUGAAAGGGCUGUCUGUGCUACAAAAUGCACACCUGGCGUUGAUAUGCAGUCUCUUGCUGCCUGUUAACCAACCCACCAGCCAACAAGUUCUGCCCACUGGCAGGAGCAAGGACUUAUAAAAAAUAGUGCCUCCCUCCCAAGGGCUUAUGAGCUGGUUAAGUGCAGAGGACAAAUAGAAUGAAAGAAAAGGCAAUCUCGGCAUAGUAUUCAGUUAAUUCUUCUCUCUCUCUCGUUCCCUCUCUCUGUCCUUUCUCUCUUCCUCCCUCCUUUCUAUGACUUGUCCUCUCCACACAACUCCUUUUCCGUUUUCCCUCCCCUGCCUCCCUACCUUCUUUCUUGACUUCCCAUCUUGCUCCCUUUCUUCCUGCCUGCCCAUCUGCUUUCCUUUCUUAUCUCUUGUGCAAAUUCUGCAUAUAGUCGCUCUCCUCAUUUCAUGACAGGCUGUCUUCAUCAGUUUCUGAGUUCUUUUGUUAUUUUAUAAUAUAUUUUACAUGCUGUCCUCAUAAAAUCCCCUCCCCCAGAAAAGGCCCAUUCAAAAGUACUUACUAUACGUCCUUAGAUAGGCAAUGAUCUCUGAAAUAUAUAUAGGCUUGCUCUA